rnacentral:rRNA from 1 species
AACAACUCUCAGCAACGGAUAUCUCGGCUCUUGCUUCAAUGAAAAACGCAACGAAAUGCGAUAAAUGGUGUGAAUUGCAGAAUCCCGUGAACCAUCGAGUCUUUGAACUCAAGUUGCGCCCGAGGCCAUCAGGCCAAGGGCACGCCUGCCUGGGCAUUGCGA